rnacentral:tRNA from 1 species
UGGCUCAGAGGUUAAAGCACCUGCCUGAAAUGCAGGAGACCCAGGUUCGAUCCCUGG